GAUGAACGCUAGCUACAGGCCUAACACAUGCAAGUCGAGGGGCAGCAUAUUUAUAGCAAUAUAAAUGAUGGCGACCGGCGCACGGGUGAGUAACACGUAUCCACCCUGCCGUUUACUCGGGGAUAGCCUUUCGAAAGAAAGAUUAAUACCCGAUGGCAUAUAUUGAUUUCAUGGUCUUUAUAUUAAAGAAUUUCGGUAAACGAUGGGGAUGCGUUCCAUUAGGCAGUUGGCGGGUAACGGCCCACCAAACCUACGAUGGAUAGGGGUUCUGAGAGGAAGGUCCCCCACAUUGGAACUGAGACACGGUCCAAACUCCUACGGGAGGCAGCAGUGAGGAAUAUUGGUCAAUGGGCGUAGGCCUGAACCAGCCAAGUAGCGUGAAGGAUGACUGCCCUAUGGGUUGUAAACUUCUUUUAUAAGGGAAUAAAGUGGAGUAUGUAUACUCU
rnacentral:rRNA from 1 species